UCGACCAACGAAAAAUUCGUUGGUCGAGCGGGAUUUGAACUCGCAUCUUCGGGUAUCCAGACCGCCGCUCUACCCGUUCAAAUCCCGCUCGAGCCAACGAAUUUUUCGUUGGU